AGAAUCAACGCUGGCGGCGUGCCUAACACAUGCAAGUCGAACGAGAAAGUGGGAGCAAUCCCACGAGUAAAGUGGCGCACGGGUGAGUAACACGUGACUAACCUACCCUUGAGUGGGGGAUAACCUAGGGAAACCUGGGCUAAUACCGCAUAAUACCUACGGGUCAAAGGAGCAAUUCGCUUUAGGAGGGGGUCGCGGCAGAUUAGUUAGUUGGCGGGGUAAUGGCCCACCAAGGCGACGAUCGGUAGCUGGUCUGAGAGGACGACCAGCCACACUGGAACUGAGACACGGUCCAGACUCCUACGGGAGGCAGCAGUGGGGAAUAUUGGACAAUGGGGGCAACCCUGAUCCAGCCAUGCCGCGUGGGUGAAGAAGGCCUUCGGGUUGUAAAGCCCUUUUGUACGGAAGAAAGCUUCGGGUUAACAACCGGGAGUCAUGACGGUACCGUAAGAAUAAGCACCGGCUAACUUCGUGCCAGCAGCCGC
rnacentral:rRNA from 1 species